GAUGAACGCUGGCGGCGUGCCUAAUACAUGCAAGUCGAGCGAACAGACGAGGAGCUUGCUCCUCUGACGUUAGCAGCGGACGGGUGAGUAACACGUGGAUAACCUACAUAUAAGACUGGGAUAACUUCGGGAAACCGGAGCUAAUACCGGAUAAUAUAUUGAACCGCAUGGUUCAAUAGUGAAAGACGGUUUUGCUGUCACUUAUAGAUGGAUCCGCGCCGCAUUAGCUAGUUGGUAAGGUAACGGCUUACCAAGGCAACGAUGCGUAGCCGACCUGAGAGGGUGAUCGGCCACACUGGAACUGAGACACGGUCCAGACUCCUACGGGAGGCAGCAGUAGGGAAUCUUCCGCAAUGGGCGAAAGCCUGACGGAGCAACGCCGCGUGAGUGAUGAAGGUCUUCGGAUCGUAAAACUCUGUUAUUAGGGAAGAACAAAUGUGUAAGUAACUAUGCACGUCUUGACGGUACCUAAUCAGAAAGCCACGGCUAACUACGUG
rnacentral:rRNA from 1 species